rnacentral:lncRNA from 1 species
AUUUAAAAAUUUAUAUGUCCCAGGUUUGGGCUACGAAGAUGGGCGAAGUCAACAAUGAUGACGUCACAUGAAACUCUGAUAGAACUUUUCAUGUACAUAAAAUGUAUGUCAUAGAUAUAUAAUAAAUUUUGAAUUUUCCCGCUUUUAAACUUAUUUAAAAUUAGACAUCAAAUAUGGAGAAGGUGUAUGAUGAUAGUGCAUGGUUAAAUUUAAUGGAACAGUAUAAAAAGUGCCAAGAUGAUGUGGAAGCCAAAAAAACUCCAACUAAGUGAAGAAUUGAUUCGUUUAGAAGAGCUAAAAGACCGAACAACCCAUAUUAUUGAAAGUAAGAAGCAGGCCACAGAAGACCUAAAAGAGUUGUUCUUUAAAAUGGAUCCCAAGAUGGCUGAGCUUGAGUUACUAGACAUUACACAUAAAUCUCGUACUCUGACUUUGGACAAAGCAAAAGAGUCUUUGAUUAAAUUAAAAAAAGAACGCGAUGUGUUGGUGCGUUGCACCGAUAUGAAACUAACUCAACGGAUGUAGUAUGAAUGAAUGACAAAGUACCACUAAGGAGUUAUAAGUGAAAGUCCUUGUUGAAUUCAGAGCAGAAUUGAGAAUCGAAAACAGAGAUUCACUUACCCAUAAUCAAUCAUGAUAAGUCAUAGUUAUAUCGUAAAUAUAUCAAUGAUAUUAAAUACCAGUAAAUUUUAACGGUCUCCGUCAUGGAUGUUGGAAACAAUGAAUCUGUGGAAGGCUAGUUACAUAAAAAAACCCCACCAAUUGAUAACACUAUGAUCAGUAAAAUUUUCUAUUUUGAUUGUUUUUUAAAAACAUAUGGCUUUCUUGAUAAGGCUCUAUGAGUAUCAUCUCAUUACUUCACUCAUACAAAAAUUUACUAUGUAUUUUUUUGUCAGCUGUCGAUGUUUCUGUUUGUUUAAGUCAUAUUGGUAUUCUGAACUUUUAUUUGGCUCUUUUUAAACUGUGAACAAUGAUGAUUUAAUAAUAGUUCCACUGUUUGAAAGAAUUGGUACUGAAUUGGUGAACUAUCAACUGAUUUAUACUUUCUUUCUGCUUCUUAUCGGAAGAAAGAUUGUAAGAUCUAAUAAUUAAUAAAGGUAUUGUGUACUAGCAACUAUUAUAAUUAAAUUUAAUAUAUAAUUACAUUCUAAACUAUAAGCUUUAUAUUAAAAGAAUAUUGUUGGAAAUUUGGGUAGACAACGGCUAACAUACCUUUGAACCCAAACCCUUCCUUUGAUUCUUCACUCCACCUAAGAAUUUUAUGGGACUCCCAGAACUCAUGGAAGGCUCCAAGUAGAGGAUAAAUAACAGGUCACUGUUGUUGUGCAUGCUUCACUAUCCUCGUGUUUAGCAUUGAUGUUAUACACGAUCCUUGGUUUCAAGGUCAAUUUGAAUAACAGUUAUUGGAUUCCAAGGACGCAACUUAUUCAUCUAGGGUUGUUAUGAGACUAUGUGUCCAUAAUCAUUACUGUUCCCGAGCAGAAAGCGCAAAAGAUCCGAGAUCUUGCCGCUUAAUUCUUCCUAAGGCGAUCAUUGUCGGUCCGAGACCUUCAACAAAUAACUACACAAAAUAUCCGAGAUCUUGCCACUUAAUUCCUCCUAAGGCGAUUAUUGUCGGUCCGAGACCUUCAACAAAUAAUUAUGCAAUAGAUCCGAAAUCUUGUUGCUAGAUUAUACCAAAGGUGAUGAUUGUCGGUCCUAGAAUUUCAACAAUUAACUAUGCAAAAGAUCUGAGAUCGUGUUGCUUAAUUCCUCCUAAGGCAAUUAUUGUCACUCCGAGUCUUUCAACAAAUAACUAUGCAAUAGAUCCGAGAUCUUGUUGCUAAAUUACAGCAAAGGGGAUGAUUGUCGGUCCGAGACUUUCAACAAAUAACUUUUGAAAAGAUUUGAGAUCUUGUUGCUAAA